UCGAAUUGUCAACAAGAGUUGUUGCUGGUCUCCACAUGGGGGCAUGUGCACGCUCUGUUUACACAUCCACUCACACCUGUGCACCCUCUGUAGUUCUAUGGCCUGGGUGGGCUCUGUCCUCCCGCUGUGGUUCUACGUCUUUACACACACACUACAAUAAGGUCUCAUGGAAUGUAUGUAGCGUCUAACGCAAUGAAAUA
rnacentral:misc_RNA from 1 species